GAUUUUAUUUAUUUAUUUGUCAGAGAGAGAGAGAGAGAGAGCACAAGGAGGGGGAGCGUCAGAGGGAGAGGGAGAAGCAGACUCCCUGCUGAGCAGGGAGUCCGAUGCUGGGCUCUAUCCUAGAACCCUGUGAUCGUGACCUGAGCCCAAGGCAGAUGCUUAACUGACUGAGCCACCCAGGCAUCCUUCAUGUAAGACUUUUAUAAACUAAAUGUAAUGGUUGGGAUUAAGUCACUGCAUAAAUGCUGAAAAAACAAGUAUAUACAUACAUAUGUAUGUACCUACAUGUCUAUGUGUAGAUACCAAAAAUCUAUUUUACAGCAUAUUCUUGUACCUAGCAUGGAUAAGGUACUGUAUAUUAUAGGUUUUUGUCAAAACUGAAGGAGAAGGGUAAUAAAUCAUGUAUUAAAAAAAAAAGCCUCACCCAUUUAAUUCUGUGGUUUUUUUCUUUCCUAUACUUACAACAAACAAUGAAACAAAUAGAUUUUGGUUAAAAAAGAAAGCUUUCUAUAGUUUUAUUUCAAAAACUAUUGGCAAAAUUUUAUAGAAGACACAUUUCCUGACUUCUCAUUUCUGUGUUCUGGCUUAUAAAAAAAAUACGUCACGAUACAAGCUAAACAGUUAAUAGUCACUUUCUAUCAUUUCAGUUGGACUGUAAGCUUUUUUUUCCCCCCAGAUAAUUGUAAGUGUGUUUGUUUUUCUAUAUUCUUCUACUACAGCAAAUUGUGAGGAAAAUAUAAUAAGAGACUCAGAGGAGGAAGAAAUCAAGAAAAAUAACACCUCUUUCAAACAUGGGAGCAGCUGUUUCUUGGAUGUAUGGUGGAGUCUCCUGGGAACCAAGCCGACUUCGAGAAGGUUGAGGAGGCCUGGGGAAACUUGGGUUGCAGUCCUAUUUGGCAAGAAAAUUUUCAGUACAACCAGAGGCCACCAACAGAUGUAAUCAUGCCGCUGAGCAUACAGACGCCAUAGGAUUUGGUAUCCUUAAAGAACUUUCUAAAGUGGGCAAAGAUGAUCAAAAGGUAACAAACUUCCAGUUAUAAGAUAAAUAAGUUGUGGGAUGUAAUGUACAGCAUGACGACUAUAGUUAACAAUAUGGUAUUGUAUAUUUGAAAGCUGUUGUUUACUUAACAAGAAGAAGACACCUGGUUGGCUCAGUUAGUACAGCUUCCAACUCUUGAUCUUGGGGUCAUGAGUUUAAGCCCAAUGUUGGGCACAGAGAUUACCUUAGGAAAAAAAAAGGAAAGUUGCUAAGAGAGUAGAUCUUAAAAGUUCUCAUAAUAAGAAAAAAUAUUUGUAAAUAUGUGCGGUGAUAGAUGUUAACUGAACUUAUUGUAAUAAUUAUUUUGACAUAUAUGAUAUAUAUAUGUUAUGUUGCAUACCUAAAACUAAUACAAUGUUAUAUGUCAAUUAUAUUGCAAUAAAACUGGAAAAAAAAAGGGCUUUCUAAGCA
rnacentral:lncRNA from 1 species